rnacentral:tRNA from 1 species
GCGCUGUUGGUGUAGCGGUUAGCAUUGAAGCCUUCCAUUAAGAACAGCUUUAGUCCGGGGUUCGAAUCCCCGACAGUGCA